rnacentral:rRNA from 1 species
AGUGAACGCUGGCGGUAGGCCUAACACAUGCAAGUCGAACGGCAGCACAGUAAGAGCUUGCUCUUACGGGUGGCGAGUGGCGGACGGGUGAGGAAUACAUCGGAAUCUACUUUUUCGUGGGGGAUAACGUGGGGAAACUUACGCUACUACCGCAUACGACCUACGGGUGAAAGCAGGGGUUCUUCGGACCUUGGCCGAUUUAAUGAGCCGAUGUCGGAUUAGUUAGUUGGCGGGUUAAGGGCCCACCAAGGCGACGAUCCGUAGCUGGUCUGAGAGGAUGAUCAGCCACACUGGAACUGAGACACGGUCCAGACCCCUACGGGAGGCAGCAGUGGGGAAUAUUGGACAAUGGGCGCAAGCCUGAUCCAGCCAUACCGCGUGGGUGAAGAAGGCCUUCGGGUUGUAAAGCCCUUUUGUUGGGAAAGAAAAGCAGCAGGUUAAUACCCCGCUGUUCUGACGGUACCCAAAGAAUAAGCACCGGCUAACUUCGU